GGUGGAGAAACAAUAAAAAAGACGAAGAAUUAAU
rnacentral:sRNA from 1 species